AAGUCGUAACAAGGUUUCCGUAGGUGAACCUGCGGAAGGAUCAUUAACACGUUUCGUUCCGAACGUUUUGACCCUCCAAUUUUCCGUGCACCCAAACGCGUCCGGCCUCUCAGCCGCUCACUGGGUUUACUCAGUGUUGCCUGUUGGGCGUCUCUUCAGGAUCCAAAGUGAAUGAAAAAAAAGUUAGUUUCUGACUGACUCUUUUUUCGUUUGCUUCCUGAUUGGGCGUUGCCACCUCACCCAAACCCUUUAAUCUAACUGAUCUGAACUUUUAGUUGAACCAUUGGCAAGAAGUUUUCUUUUUGUCAAUAUCAACGACUUUGAACAAACAACAACUCUUAACAACGGAUAUCUUGGUUCUC
rnacentral:misc_RNA from 1 species